AGUGGCGCAUGCUUUACCAUGCAAGUCGAACGGCAGCACGGGAGCUUGCUCCUGGUGGCGAGUGGCGAACGGGUGAGUAAUGCAUCGGAACGUGCCCUGAAGUGGGGGAUAACGCAGCGAAAGUUGCGCUAAUACCGCAUAUUCUGUGAGCAGGAAAGCAGGGGAUCGCAAGACCUUGCGCUUUAGGAGCGGCCGAUGUCGGAUUAGCUAGUUGGUGGGGUAAAGGCUCACCAAGGCGACGAUCCGUAGCGGGUCUGAGAGGAUGAUCCGCCACACUGGGACUGAGACACGGCCCAGACUCCUACGGGAGGCAGCAGUGGGGAAUUUUGGACAAUGGGCGAAAGCCUGAUCCAGCCAUGCCGCGUGAGUGAAGAAGGCCUUCGGGUUGUAAAGCUCUUUCGGCGGGGAAGAAAUCGCAUUCUCUAAUACAGGAUGUGGAUGACGGUACCCGAAUAAGAAGCACCGGCUAACUACGUGCCAGCAGCCGCGGUAAUACGUAGGGUGCGAGCGUUAAUCGGAAUUACUGGGCGUAAAGCGUGCGCAGGCGGUUUCGUAAGACAGACGUGAAAUCCCCGGGCUCAACCUGGGAACUGCGUUUGUGACUGCGAGGCUAGAGUUUGCAAGAGGGGGGU
rnacentral:rRNA from 1 species